rnacentral:snRNA from 1 species
ACCCUUAGUAAAUGCGUCUAAAUUCAAAAAUGAAUAGCGAACUAUUCUUUCGCCUUUUACUAAAGAAUACCGUGUACGUGUCAUUUAAAGCGGCAUACACUAAUUUUUGAAAGAGUUUCUCUUUUAGAGGAACU